AUUGGAUCUCCUUCUUCGAUUGCCUCGAAUCAUUUUGAUAUUGAAGAUGGAUCAGAGGAGAAUAUUGUAUGGUAGAGAAAAAUUUAAUGAAGACUCUCCUCUCUUUGGUUUUUUCCUCACCCAAAAUUUCUAGAAUAGUUCUAGGUCUCUCACCCGAUAGGAGAUCGAUCUCCUCCUUUGUUCAUGCCAAGAAAGAUAGAAGCCCACCCAAACCUCACACCCCAAAGAAGUAUUUUAGCCCCUCUUUCCCUCUAAUAUCUCAUGGUAAAAAUCUCUCAUCAGUUGGCACACAAAAUUGCAGUCUUUUUAUAGUUAUCGCACAAAUCAGG
rnacentral:lncRNA from 1 species